GUGCUCACUUUGGUAACACAUUUACUAAAUUUAAAACAAUACAAAGUAGAUCAGCACUGUCCUUGCAUAAGAAUGACAUGCCAAUUUCUGAUGAAUUCCAUAUUUUC